rnacentral:rRNA from 1 species
UACGUAGGGGGCAAGCGUUGUCCGGAUUUACUGGGCGUAAAGAGCGCGUAGGCGGAAACGCCAGUCCGGCUUGAAAGCCCCCGGCUCAACCGGGGAGAGUGGGCUGGAAACUGCGUUUCUUGAGGGCGAGAGAGGAGGGUGGAAUUCCUGGGUGUAGCGGUGAAAUGCGUAGAGAUCAGGAGGAACACCCGUGGCGAAGGCGGCCCUCUGGCUCGACCCGACGCUGAGGCGCGAAAGCGUGGGGAGCGAACGGG